GUUUAAAACUCUGCAGCCCCACAAAUGCUUAUGGGUGAGACAAUCGAAUGGUACUUUCAAGCAAUCACAAAAAGCUGCGGUCACGGGACAAAGAUUUACAUCCUAAAUCACUACUCAGCCCAAGUCAUUCUAAAUGGAGAAAGAAGUUUAGUGCGCAAGCAAAGUCUGGCAAAGGUGAACUUCAGUAACUACAAUGCUGUCAUGAGUUUCUUGAACGUGAACCCGAACCACUGGAAGUUCAUUUAUCUGCAUAAACCAUCAGGCCAAGUGUUUUUGGUUGACCCUGCUGGACAGAAAGAGAAGGAGGAAUCGGAACACGCUGCAUUCAAAUUCAGCUCUUAGUUAUUCCAUUGUACUGGAUCUAAUACAUAUUAGCAUUUUACAUACAUUCAUAAGUGUAAUCAUUUUUUAUGACAUACUGUGAAAAGCUGUCUUGGCUGCUGGCUUUGUCACUAAGGAAGUUGCACAGAACUUACCCAACAACCCCUCCCAAAUUGAUAUAGAACCUUCACAAAAACACAAAAAAUGGCUGAGGAUAUACUGAAAAUGUCUGGUUUGUAAUGACAUUUAAUUCUAAGUAAAUGCUAAUUCUUUAUUUUUAUGUCAUUGUGUGGGACAGCCAUAUGUUCAGUUCAUACCUAUGAUUUUAGAGUUCAACAAAGCCAACAACUGCUUCAUGUGUGCCACUGAUAAAGAACCUGGAUGUGGCCCAAAGACUGACUGGGUAAUUAACUAUAUUUACAUGUUUAUAAUCUUUUGACAACAGUGACGGCAUGUAAGAUGUAAGACAAUUUAUGAUAUAACACAAUGGAUGGCUAGUUCGUCAUACUGCAUUGAUAUUUGAUAUUAUUUACAUGACCAAG
rnacentral:lncRNA from 1 species